UACAGAGGCCACAAGCGUUAGGCGGAAUCACUGGGCUUAAAGCGUGUGUAGGCGGAUCGUUAAGUGUCCUGUGAAAUCCCACGGCUUAACCGUGGAACGGCAGGGCAAACUGGCGGUCUUGAGCCAUUCAGGGGCAGCUGGAACAGACGGUGGAGCGGUGAAAUGCGUAGAUAUCGUCUGGAACGCCAACGGUGAAGACAGGCUGCUGGGGAUGCGCUGACGCUGAGACACGAAAGCCAGGGGAGCAAACGGG
rnacentral:rRNA from 1 species